rnacentral:piRNA from 1 species
UCCUUCGACCCAUUGGUGACAGGAAAGGUC